UAUUACAAACCAUCGGGACUAUUUUGGUUUGGUGUAUUUUAGCUACUAUAGGGCUAUUUUGGGAAAUAAUUUAACAAAUGGGGGUUGUUUAGUAAACUCCUUAACCACAAGAGAUCAGAUUUAAUAAAUCUUUUCAAAUGGGGUUUAUUUUGCUACCACUCAACAUUUAUAGGGGCUGAUAUGGCUAUUUAUUAUAAACCAAGGAUUUUAGGGCUUUUGUGUCCUCAUCUUGCCUGAUCGAUCAAAAGAAAGAAUCAGACGCGAGGAAGAAGCGCAAACGACACACGCACGCCUUCUGCGGCUCAUCCAUCGAGCGAAGGGAAAAGAAAUCGAAGGCGGCAGCAGGUGGCUCAGUGGAGGAGGCCAAUCGCAAAGAGGAGGACUGAGAACAGGGGCUUCGGUCCUCAUCUUCGACUUCAUCAGAUUGGAGAUGUGACUGGCGAACGAAGGCAGUCAAGGUGGCUAAGAGAUAGCGAGGAGGGGAGCACCUCCGGUGGUCGGUUGGUCCGAAGAAAAAAAGGGGAACAGGCAGCGAAGCUGCUCUCUUUUUGCUCCGGCAGUGAGAUACGAAGGGGAAAAACGGGCGGCGAUAGCAGCUCCGGUGGGGGGUGUUCGACUUCUUCGUUUGACAGUAAGCAAGGAGCACAACGUGAAGGUCUUGAUGUCUUCUUGAUUGCAGGGAAAUCUCCACUUCUGGUGGAGGUUUGGGUUGAUUCAAUUGACAGCUUCAAUUGACAGGGAGAAGAGAAAGGGUCUUCUGUUCUUCUUGGCAGGCUAGAAGGAGUAAGAAGAGGUAGUAGAGUCUUUUUUUUUUUGGGUUUAAUUGAUUGUUAAAUGAGGGCAAGUUAUGUAAAAGUGGCCAACACUCUUCCAAAUUUUCAAUUGUAUAUGUCCUUUUAACUAGAUGUUUUAACUAGAAAUGUAAGCAAUCGUCUAGUCUAGACAUUUAAGCAUGUGUCUACUUACAAACAUGUGUGUACUUUUAGACAAAUUUAGAAGCAAUGUAUUGUUUCAAUUAUUAACA